AAUGAACGUUGGCGGCGUGGAUUAGGCAUGCAAGUCGAGCGAGAAGUGUAGCAAUACACGGAAAGCGGCGGAAGGGAGAGUAAUACGUGGGAAUCUGCCCUUAGACUUGGGAUAGCAGCGGGAAACUGCUGGUAAUACCAGAUAAUGUCUAUGGACCAAAGGUGUGAUUCCGUCUAGGGAUGAGCCCACGUCCUAUUAGCUAGUUGGUAGGGUAAUGGCCUACCAAGGCGAUGAUGGGUAGCGGGUGUGAGAGCAUGACCCGCCUCACUGGGACUGAGACACUGCCCAGACACCUACGGGUGGCUGCAGUCGAGAAUCUUCGGCAAUGGGCGCAAGCCUGACCGAGCGAUGCCGCGUGCGGGAUGAAGGCCUUCGGGUUGUAAACCGCUGUCGAGGGGGAGCAACUUCCAUAGAGUUAUCUUUAUGGAUUGAGUGAUCCCUGGAGGAAGGACGGGCUAAGUUCGUGCCAGCAGCCGCUGUAACAC
rnacentral:rRNA from 1 species